ensembl:lncRNA
GCAUGAAGGGCCAGCGAUUUCAGAAUAAGUGAUUGCCAAACAUACAUCGGGCUCCUCAAAGCUCCCAUGACCUCUCAGAGAAAAUGAGGGAAGUUUCCCAGGGCUCUGUCCUCUUCAGACUAGGAGUUCUCUAACUAAGUGACCUCAAACUAACUGACAGCCUUCGAACUAACACGGAAACAGCCCACCUGGGAACAAAGUCAGCAUGGAGUAAACUGAUCUGGAAGAUACUAAGAGCUGGAGAGGCAGAGAUCUGAUAACAUCAGGCCCUGGAUCCAGCCAUUCCUGAAGCUAACUCUCUGGAUAUUACUGCUAUGUGAGCCCAUGAAUCUGGUUGGAGAGGAGCAUGAAAGGUUUACUGGAAGAGUUGACAUUUACCAUAGCCUUGACGGAGGAUGACCCGGUCAGGAUGGACUGUGCUGGGCUGCAAUGACAACCCCCUUCUGGAUCCUAUUGAUUUUCCCCAUUGCUCACAGCUGGACAUUACAUGUCAAGGAUGCUCUCAGAGGACUGGGAAAAGGUUCAGAGGUCCACAGAUAUGAUCCUUCUACUUGGGCUCCCGAAGCAAGCAGAAAGAUCCCUUCCCCUCCCCAUGAAGUCCAAGCAGGGCUGCAGAAAGAAGGGAGAGUUCAGGAAGAAGCACUUGCUUUUGCUCACUUGUUCAACCACUGUUUACUGGCUUUCUGUAUGAAUCGGGUACCUUGAAAGAUGCCAGGAGAGAUGGGAUGAGAUGAUGAUGGUCGUGAUCAUGAUGGCUAACAUUCUAUCAAGGACUUUGUACAUGCCAGGCACUGUUCUAGGAUGUUUCACAGGUCCUUAUGUGACUUCCCUGAUGGCUCAGAUGGUAAAGCAUCUGCCUACAAUGCAGGAGACCUGAGUUCGAUCCCUAGGUUAGGAAGAUCCCCUGAAGAAGGAAAUAGCAACCCACUCCAGUACUGUUGCCUUGAAAAUCCCAUGGAUGGAGGAACCUGGUAGGCUACAGUCCAUGGGGACAUAAAGAGUUGAACACGACUGAGCAACUUCACUUUCUUUCUUUCUUUCUUUUCUUUACGUGUAUUAACUGGUAUUUCUUAAAACGACCCUAGAAGAUAGCUCUGUUAUUAUGUACAACUUCCCAAUGAGGAGGCCGAGGCAGCAAAUUACAGAACGUGCCAGGGCCACAAAAGCUGGUGAGAUCAGAGAUGAGAUACAAAUGAUCUGCAGAGAUGAAAGUCCCAGCUUCCCAGGAGGAGGGGCGGG